GGGGUCAGUAGGUUGGUCGUGCCACCGGUACGUACUGGUCUCACUGAUUCCUCCCUCCUGAAGAACCGUAAUGCCAUUAAUUUGGUGUUGCGGGGAAACAGGACUGUUACUUUGAAAAAAUUAGAGUGUUUAAAGCAAGCUAACGCUUGAAUACAUUAGCAUGGAAUAAUGAAAUAGGACGAUCGAUCCUAUUUUGUUGGUUUCUAGGAUUGACGUA
rnacentral:rRNA from 1 species